UGCAAUUUAAGCAAAGUAUGGGAUUUUUAAUUAUGUUUAAAGCUGUAAUAAAGACCUUCACGUUAUGCAAUGAGCGAUGCAAAGGUUUACAAAGAAGAUUGUGAACUUAAUGAAGAGUAAAAAUUUGUUCGAGUCCAAAUGAGUUGAAAAGAGAAAAUAUUUUCAAUAUAUUAACUAAUUGUUUAGUUUGCUGCAAUCCCAUUAAAAAAUGAUUGAUUUUGCUAGCUUUGGAUACUGUAUGGGCAUGCAGGUGCUCAUGGUUCUAUUCAUUUGAGCUUGCAGCUUCAUUAUUGAUUAUCAAUUAGAAGGGCUCUGGAAUUAUUUAAAAUCUUGGUAUGUCUUAGUGGUCAAUGAUUUUGUUGCGUCAAUCGGGUUGGUACAAAAAUAAUGAUGUUUUACUAGAAUUGAAGAGGGCCUAUUCCAAUCGAUGUGCUGAAGCAUAGUGAAUAAUGACUGAUAAAAACAUGGCAGCUCACAAUAAAAGAACAGUACUCUUUUUUCUUCAUUUUGUGUAGUUCUCUAUUUCUUUAACCAUGAUAUAUGAUUGUUUUACCAUUGCUAUAAGGAGAAAUGCAAAUUAUGAAUCUGCUAAGGCUAGAUCUAAAGUUAAUGACAAAGAAAACGAAGAGGUUACAAGUAUUUUAAAUUUGGUUUUAUUUGAUCUAAUUUGUUUUUGGUUUUGUA
rnacentral:misc_RNA from 1 species